rnacentral:rRNA from 1 species
UACGUAGGGGGCAAGCGUUGUCCGGAUUUACUGGGCGUAAAGCGCGUGUAGGCGGCUACGCAGGCCCGUUGUGAAAACUGGAGGCUCAACCUCCAGACGUCGACGGAAACCGUGUGGCUAGAGUCCGGAAGAGGAGAGUGGAGUUCCUGGUGUAGCGGUGAAAUGCGCAGAUAUCUGGAGGAACACCGGUGGCGAAGGCGGCAUCCUGGACCAAUAUUGACGCUGAGGAGCGAAAGCCAGGGGAGCAAACGGG